rnacentral:rRNA from 1 species
UAAUACGGAGGAUCCGAGCGUUAUCCGGAUUUAUUGGGUUUAAAGGGUGCGUAGGCUGUUUGGUAAGUUAGAGGUGAAAUCUCGACGCUCAACGUCGAAACUGCCUCUGAUACUGCCAAGCUAGAGUACAGUUGCUGUGGGCGGAAUGAGUAGUGUAGCGGUGAAAUGCUUAGAUAUUACUCGGAACACCGAUUGCGAAGGCAGCUCACAAAGCUGUUACUGACGCUGAUGCACGAAAGCGUGGGGAGCAAACAGGAUUAGAUACCCUGGUAGUCCACGCCGUAAACGAUGAUAACUCGUUGCCGGCGAUAUAUUGUCGGUGACUUAGCGAAAGCGUUAAGUUAUCCACCUGGGGAGUACGUUCGCAAGAAUG